UCUCCUGGCAUCUGAUGGACUGGGCCCUUCCCCCCUGCAAGGUGAGAGCUAAAGGGUUGGAGAACAAAGGAAUCAGGUGACCUCCUGGCCCGGGAAAGGAACAAAGCCCAGAGGAGGAGCGGCUGGAGGGGGAGUCAGUUUGGGGAUGGCUGGGGACAAGGAGUGAAGUACAGAUGUGGUUGUCUGCCUCACUGCUCCCCAAAAUGGACCCCGCUGAGGGGUCCUGUUCUCGGUACCUACAAGUUCUGUGUUAGACCUUGUUCCUGUCAUCUAAGAAAACUUCUGUUUUACUGGCUGGCUGAGAGUCACGUCUGACUGUGGAGCUGAGGUGCAGGACCCUCUGGCUUCCCUGGGACCCCGCCGAGGCGGACUAGCUGGGAAGCGCACGGAGGGGCAGAGGAUGUAGAA